CCUACUGAUGCCCGCGUC
rnacentral:snRNA from 1 species